AGCGCAUGAUCCAGUGGUUAGCUUCGAAUGAGUAUAAGAUUGGUUAUACGUGGGUCAAGAUUAAGGAUCGAUCGAGGUUACUGUUUUAUGAACAUCGCUUUGUCUUUUUUUCUUGUCGCUAAAGAUAUCGGAAAAUGCCAACACUAUCCGUCUUUGUCCAUGUCUCGGGAUUAAUCCAGAUUUUGAUCCGAAAGCUAUCCUUAUUAUAAAAGGAAAAAGAAAAAACAGAAAGAGAAAGAGAGAGAGAUACAUCAUACAUCGUGCGAUAAGGAUGUGUAUAUAAUGUUAAAAUAUAUGAUGUA
rnacentral:lncRNA from 1 species